AAGGGCACCACAAGAACGCGUGGAGCAUGUGGCUUAAUUUGACUCAACGCGGGGAAACUUACCGGGUCCGGACACACUGAGGAUUGACAGGCGCUUGUAGUUAGUUUCAACUUGUUUGAGUACUGACUACUAUAAAUAUGCUAGUCCUUUCAUGAUUGUGUGAUAGGUGGUGCAUGGCCGUUCUUAGUUCGUGAAGUGAUUUGUCUGCUUAAUUGCGUUUCGUAAUAAAAGUGUUCUUCUGACUAUUAAUUAGAUAAAAAAAGAAAUUUAUUUCUUUUUUAUUUUCUUUUUAUUUCGGUAAGAAAACACUUUGAAGGCAACGAACGUGACCG
rnacentral:rRNA from 1 species